rnacentral:miRNA from 11 species
GGCGAGUUCGGUUUUAGUUGUA